UACGGAGGGUGCAAGCGUUAUCCGGAUUCACUGGGUUUAAAGGGUGCGUAGGCGGCUAAAUAAGUCAGUGGUGAAAGCUUACAGCUUAACUGUGAAACUGCCAUUGAAACUGUUUAGCUUGGAUCUGGUUGAAGUGGGCGGAAUACAUCAUGUAGCGGUGAAAUGCUUAGAUAUGAUGUAGAACACCGAUUGCGAAGGCAGCUCACUAUGCCAACAUUGACGCUGAGGCACGAAAGCGUGGGGAGCGAACAGG
rnacentral:rRNA from 1 species